rnacentral:rRNA from 1 species
UACGGAGGAGGCAAGCGUUAUCCGGAAUUAUUGGGCGUAAAGCGUCCGCAGGUGGCACUUCAAGUCUGUCGUCAAAGACUGGGGCUUAACCCUGGAAAGGCGGUGGAAACUGAAGCGCUAGAGUGCGGUAGGGGUAGAGGGAAUUCCCGGUGUAGCGGUGAAAUGCGUAGAGAUCGGGAAGAACAUCGGUGGCGAAAGCGCUCUGCUGGACCUAAACUGACACUGAGGGACGAAAGCUAGGGGAGCGAAUGGG